UCUGUAUCCCUCUUCCCAUGAAGCACUCUUUUUUAUUUUAUUUUAUUUUUAUCAAAAACUCAGUUGAAGAUGGUUGAAAAUUUGUGGAUCUGAAGAUCUGAAUCUCAAUUGGAGAGUUUCUAAAGACUAAAAGCUAUGGAUCUAUUCUGAACAUUAUGGAAUCUCACUUCAAAGUGGUUCACGGGCUGAAAAGAACUCAAGACAAAACAUGUACAAACACUGUUCAACCAUAAAGGAAUUGGUGAUGUGCCACCAUCUCAGUGAGAAUGAGUAGACUCUUUUGUUUUGAUUGGAGCACCGAGGCUCAUGGAUGUUUAAUGUGAAAGCUCCGAGCUUAUUUGGUUAGGACCGUAAGUCCAAUUUUGUUGUAAGAAGGCCAUGCCUUGAAUUUUUGUAAGCCAUUAAGGCAUCUUAUUUGCAUCCUCUAACUCAUUGAACUAUGUCAUAUGAAAGUGUAUUUAAUAUGUUGAACACAAAAUUGUAAAUGAAAACCUUAGUUCAAUGAGAAAGAGGACCCUUUGGGUUAAUGUUAUUAUGAUGAUGAUAAGAUUUCGGCUCAACCAUGGUUUAAUUGAUGUUUUACAUUAAA